UGCCAGCCGCCGCGGUAAUACGGAGGGUGCAAGCAUUAAUCGGAUUCAUUGGGCGUAAAGCGCGCGUAGGCGGACUAUUAAGUCAGGGGUGAAAUCCCGGGGCUCAACCCCGGAACUGCCCUUGAUACUGGUAGUCUUGAGUUCGAGAGAGGUGAGUGGAAUUCCGAGUGUAGAGGUGAAAUUCGUAGAUAUUCGGAGGAACACCAGUGGCGAAGGCGGCUCACUGGCUCGAUACUGACGCUGAGGUGCGAAAGCGUGGGGAGCAAACAGGAUUAGAUA
rnacentral:rRNA from 1 species